UACGGAGGGUGCAAGCGUUAUCCGGAUUUACUGGGUUUAAAGGGUGCGUAGGCGGGCCUUUAAGUCAGUGGUGAAAUCUCCCCGCUCAACGGGGAAACUGCCAUUGAUACUAUUGGUCUUGAAUUUAGUUGAGGUGGGCGGAAUGUGUCGUGUAGCGGUGAGAUGCUUAGAUAUGACACAGAACACCGAUUGCGAAGGCAGCUCGCUAAACUAAUAUUGACGCUGAGGUACGAAAGCGUGGGGAUCAAACAGG
rnacentral:rRNA from 1 species